GGGCGGGUAGCUCAACGGCCAGAGCACUCGCCUUACACGCGAGGGGUUCGGGGUUCGAAUCCCCGCCCGCCCA
rnacentral:tRNA from 1 species